rnacentral:pre_miRNA from 1 species
UGAGAAGUAACUGUUAAAACUAUGUCGCCGGUUACGAUGUCAUUUUCUUUUGCUCCUCGAUGUU